rnacentral:tRNA from 1 species
CCCCGCGUAGCUCAACCGCAGAGCGUUCGGCUGUUUACCGAAAGAGUAAAUCCGGUUUAGGUUGCUGGUUCAAAUCCGGCCGCGGGGA